CAAACACACAUUCGCUCUCACAACAUGAGGACGGGUCAGCAGAAGGGUGACCCGGGUUCAGAACAGAAACCGCCUGGUGGGUCGUGACCCGCCAAGCUCUGCCGCCACAGACCAAAGUAGAGCUGAGCGAUAAAUCAGUUUUAUCGAUUAACUGCUAUGCUGACAGGAGUACAAGAACAGAGUAACUGUAGGACUGGGGUGUUAAUAUUUUUUAAUUUAAUGUUUUAAGGGUUUGAUGUAUAUGUAAGAGUGCUGUGAAGAGACGGAAAUGACAAAAUCCCCGAGGGAAAAUCUAAAAAGGAUUAAUAAAGUUACUUUGUUUGUUUCUGUCUGUCUGUCUGUCAAUGUCAAUGUCUUUCUUUACAUAUCUAGCUAACUUUAUCAUCUUCCUUUAUCUAUCUAUCUUUAUCUAUCAUUAUCUACGAAUCUUUAUUUAUCUUUAUCUAUAUAUCUAUCUCUGGACGAUACGGCUGAAAAACUAAUCAGAAUAUAAGCGUUUCAGAUCAGUCGAUAUCAAUAAUUGUUGAUUAGUUAUUAUUUUAAAUAUCUGAAAUACCACAAGGUUGUUGGCGUGCCACUUUCCUCCCAUCUAUAAUUUACCCCUCACACCGUUGUUUAUUUUUUACCAGUUAUAAGCCACAGUGGUAAAAUCUUUAACUGUUGCUCUAGAAAGUUGUUGCUAGGUAACCAAAGAGUGAGUGAGUUGCUAGGUAACCAAAGAGUGAAUUAGUUACGUAAUGCUACCCAGCUAGCCUAGCUGGCUGUGAGGUUGUGUGGCUAAAGUUUUUCCUCUGCCUACAUCUCCCAGAAUGCCGUGCGGCUCUGAAUCAGAGUUUGAGCACUUUGUACUGCCUUGUUGCUGAAAAUGUGCUUUAUAACUAAAAUUACCUCUGCCUUUGAAGUAACUAGCUAAAUUUUGACAAUUAUUGAACUUUCAGAAAUGACAGCAGCUACAACGCGCCACACCAAAGAUAAAAUAACGCAGAAAAGGCAAACUACUCAAAACCAAUUGUAUAGUUUUAUUAUAUCUCUCUCUCUUUCUGUCGACUCUACAUACCACAGCACACCCGUUGCCGUGGUAACCGGCAGCCGACAGAACAGAUAUUACGUCUAAAACAUAACAUUCGGUCCGUUAUGAUAAGUUUUCAGGCUUGAUGUUUAUUUUGUGAUUAUUAACAAGAAGUCACCUGAACACAGCCAUUGAUGAUUGAACAUCGGCUCGGCGUGGCGCGCGAUCACGCUCAGCGUGCGCCACGCAUUAGCUUCGCACCCGAAAUCCGUCGACGCAUACAGUCAGUGAUUUGUAAAGGACGUAUGAACUCUUCGUGUGAAUAACAGGUUCUGGUGACCGGCACAUGUACUAACAAACAUCACUGUGAACAGGGAGUACUAUAGAAACACCAGCAGAUGACAUGGCUCCUGAAAUCCCCAUAAGCAAGCCUUCCUCUCUGCUUUUGGGACCGGCAAAAAUAGUGGUGGUGGAUGUGAGGUCCAUUCAGACUCUGUUAUCAGCCUGCCCUGCCGUCCCUCCCACUGCCGCAACCACAGACUGACCACACGCUGCAGCGAGAGUGCGCCCUUUAUACGGCACGCUCACACACAGCCGGAGCAAGUGCAAAUAAUUGCACUGCAAUCCAGAACUCCGUCCAGUAAAACACAUGCACACGGAGACGCAUGAAUCGACGUUAAAAGCAGACACGGAGAGGCACAUUGCAGACGCGCCCAAUUAGGCAAAAAUGGAUCCCAAUAAAGAUGAGCUAAAUAUAAAAGGAAAUAAAGCGCCUCUUGCUGAAUGCAGACACGUUUUGACAAAAAGCUUAGUUUGUCCACGAGAC